rnacentral:rRNA from 1 species
UCCCCCAGUAACUGCGAGUGAAAAGGGAAAAGCCCAGCGCCGAAGCCGCCGCCCAGCAAUAGGGGCGGAGGGCAAUGUGGCGUUAAGGAAGAGCCUCUUUGACCAGACGUUUCGUUGAUCGAACCGCGGAAGCCCGAGUCCCCCUGACCGGGGCCACGGCCCAUGGCGGGUGCAAGGCCUCUUCGGCUUCGUUCGACGGUUCGGAGGUUGCUGGCUCCUUUCCUCAGAGUCGGGUUGCUUGAAAGUGCAGCUCUAAGUGGGUGGUAAACUCCACCUAAGGCUAAAUAUUACCAUGAGACCGAUAGCGAACAAGUACCGUGAGGGAAAGUUGCAAAGAACUUUGAAGAGAGAGUUCAAGAGUACGUGAAACCGCUCGGAGGCAAACGGGUGAGCCCUCGAAGGUCGAACGGGGGGAUUCAGCCAGUCGACUUGUUUUAAAAACUCCGCCGCAAGUCUAAAAAGGGCACUCCGGUGUCCGAAACGGACCCCUCUCGCAGGGGCCGGGCUUGCGGUCAAAAAUGCGAAGUGAGUCGGCUGGUGCACUUCCCCCUCAGUAGGACGCCGCGACCGGUCGGGUUCUUUAAAGUUUUGCGGCCAUCAGGCGAGAGAAUCGGGGCAGGUGUCCGUUUCCGCGUUUAGUCCGGCGUUGUCUUUUUUCCCUUCGCGGGGAAGAUCGCUUCACGGGCGACCGCGCGGUCGGAGUUACAGCCCCAUCUCGACCCGUGCACCGCCACCCGACCGACAAAUGGUCACGAAUCCGUUGACGCGUGCCCGCGUAAAAAAUGCGCUCGCCCUAGUCCUGGGCAGGCCGGACGCGCGAGUACAAAGUUCCUUUUUCUCCCGGAAACGGGGAGGGAAUCCGUCGGACGCCGGUACCAAAAACCACAAAGGCGACCGACGGCUCCGCGUCUGCCGCUGGCUCACGGGGACAAUCGCGUUCUGGCGUGGAGGCAU